rnacentral:rRNA from 1 species
UACGGAGGGUGCAAGCGUUAUCCGGAUUCACUGGGUUUAAAGGGUGCGUAGGCGGGUAGGUAAGUCAGUGGUGAAAUCUUCGAGCUUAACUCGGAAACUGCCUUUGAUACUAUCUAUCUUGAAUAUUGUGGAGGUAAGCGGAAUAUGUCAUGUAGCGGUGAAAUGCUUAGAUAUGACAUAGAACACCAAUUGCGAAGGCAGCUUACUACACAACGAUUGACGCUGAGGCACGAAAGCGUGGGGAUCAAACAGG